CGAAUUUCCGGCUUUCAUAAUUUAUAAGUACAGUACUGAACUGAAAAUAUUUAUAGUUAAGGAUCCGUGUCAAAGAUGCACUUCGCCCUUACAUAUGAAAAGUGGUUACUAAACAAAAUUUGCCACACAAGUAUUAUUCCAUUUUACAUAUGCUGUAAAGAUGACAUCACCAUGUGAAAGAUGACUUCAGAAUUUUGUGAUGUUUGCGAGUUACCAGAACUUCCUAUAGAUCCAUUAACAAUCUGGGAACAUAUACCAUGUCCACCAGACGAAUUUAAGGACGAUUUAUUCUCUAACGAUUUACUGACCAAAUUGGGACCAGAACAAGGGAUGUCAAUAAUUCUAAAUAUAGCUAAAAGAUGUGAUAUUAAAGUGCCAAAACUAUUUCCGACAUCGGGUCACGUGAGUGGUGCUUGGAUAUUUGACACGUGUGGUGAGGACUGUAUCUCUACUACUGUUGGGAUUUGUCUUUCUGUUCUUCUAGUCAUGGUUGUAAUAACACUCGCCGGCUUU